ensembl:lncRNA
ACCCAGGGCACACUCAUCCCUGGCUCCUUCUGGCUCCGCCCUCUUGAGUUGUCUAGCUGAGUCUUCCUGGCACUGAGAGUAGCUGUUGCACCUCUGCGUGGGGGGUUCACCAUCAGGCUGGAGGGACAGAAAAGUGGAGAACACCUACCCACAGGGUGUCUUAUUUGAAGCCACAUCUAGCAAAGUCUUAUGUUUCAUUACCCAGAACCGUUGCAAUGCAUUGCUUGCAGCUUAAAAGUGACUCCAUAAAGAGGGGUGGUGAAGACAGGCAUGGGUGGGAUUGGGUCAGUCAACCAAGAGUGCCUGUAUCUGUGUUCUCAGAUGCUUUGACAUCUGGGCCCUGCUGAUCCUGGAGAGACUGCCCACCCACCCCUCGCCCCGAUUUGGCUGUUUCCUAGACACAGCCAGCAGCUCACCUGUUUGCCUUUCCCAUGCAAACCUGUCAAGCAUUUCCUCUUUGCUCCACUGCCCAGACUCAGAGCCAGUCUGAGCCACAACCCACCCUGCCCCACUCAUGCUGGGACCAGGUACCAGGUGACUCAGGAAACCCCUUCCUCUCCACAGCCCUCUUACUUUAUUCAUACUUGCCGUCCAAAGACUGCUUUCCCUGCCUCGCCUGCCUUUCCCAGAGAAAUGACCAUCAGGGUCUUGGCCUUGUUUUCCUCUAAGUCUGUCUGCCUCAUGGAAGACCCUGGGUAUUCCCGUGUGGCCUGGACACAGAAUGACAGGCUGUGUCUCCUGUUUCUAGGGACCUGGGAGGACCAUACUUGGUCAUUGAUUUAAGCAUAAAAGUGAGAAAUAUUUUUGUAUUUAAAAAAGAGGAAGAAUCCCAAAGUGUCUCGAAAAUUUGGGACCUUUUCUUUUCUGUCUCAAUUUCCAUGUCUAUGUUGAGUCUUUCUGAAAAUGGGAUUUUACCCCAGAUGGGGUUUUGUUACCACUGUGUUAUCUUUAGCACAGGUAUCUCUUCAUGCAGAGAGGACACCUUGGAAUCACAUAUAAUUACCAUGUGGGUGGCCCACUUGUAUUGUUUUCUGAGGGUGUUUCAGAAUUAUACAUAAAGCCACAGUCACUAGCAGAUUAAUUGAACUGGGAAAUAGCUGCUCAGCUGAAGAGCCACAUGGAUCAUAUGGCAGAACUAUUGGUAAUUCUUGAGGAACUCUCCUACUCUUUCCAUAGUGGUGGCACCAAAGUGCGUUCUCAGCAAGAGUGGUCCAGGCCCUCCACAUGCUCACCAACAUGAGUGUCCUUUAACACAUGUAACAGCUAUGCUAACAGUGCUUUGCUUACACAGUCAACUACUCUUUGGCAAAGUUGUCAAGAAUAUACAAUGAAGAAAGGACAGUCUCUUCUAUAAAUCAAGCUGGGAACAUUGGAUAUCCACAUGCAAAAGGGUAAAAUCACACCUUUUCCUCCAGCAUGCACAAGUAUCAACUCAGGAUAGAUAAAACUUGAAACUGUAAAACUCCUCGAAGAAAACACAGAGGAAACUUCAUGACAUGGAUUUGGCAAUGACUUUAUGAACGUCAUAUCAAAACUGAGAAACGGGUGUGAGUUGGGGAUCCCGCACCAGUUCUUUUUUUUUUUUAACUUUUUAUUUUUACUUUAUUCUACUUUAUAAUACUGUAUUGGUUUGCCAUACAUUGACAUGAAUCCACCACGGGUGUACAUGCGAUCCCAAACAUGAACCCCCCUCCCACCUCCCUCCCCACAACAUCCCUCCGGGUCAUCCCAGUGCACAAGCCCCAAGCAUGCUGUAUCCUGCAUCGGACAUAGACUGGUGAUUUGAUUCUUACAUGAUAUUAAACAUGUUUCAAUGCCAUUCUCCCAAAUCAUCCCACCCUCUCCCUCUCCCUCUGAGUCCAAAAGUCCGCUCUACACAUCUGUGUCUUUUUUGCUGUCUUGCAUACAGGGUCAUCAUUGCCAUCUUUCUAAAUUCCAUAUAUAUGUGUUAGUAUACUGUAUUGGCUGCACCAGUUCUUCUAGUGGAUGCCAAGUAUUCCAGCAGCACUUGCUGAAGGGACCAUCCUUCCCACUGUUCUGCAGAACCACCUCAGACAGAUGUGCGGAGUCCUCUGUGUGUGAGCCUGUGUUGGUCCAUUGGUCAGUUUUUGUGUCCUUGAGUUAAUACUACCUUGACUAAUUAUGAUAUCCUGAUAUUCUCAGUGUCUUGUGGAAAACUCUAUUCUAUCCAAAUUAAUGUCUUCUGUUGGCUCUGUCUAUUUCUAUGUAAUAUUAUAAUCAGUUGGUGAAUUUUCACCCUAAAGACAGGGAGGCAUUUGAUUAGAAUUCCAUAAAUUAGUUCAGGGAAAAUGACAUCCAUGUAAUAUUGAGAAUUCCAGUCCAGAAACUUGGAACUUCUUUCCAUUAAUUGUCUUCUUUAAUUACUCUGUAACUACAUUGUAUAGUUUUUCCCUGCAUUGCUAGUGCAUAUAUUUUGUAUUGCUAGUACAUACAUUUUACACAUAUUAUUCCUAGAUAUCCAUAUUUAUAUUAGUGUACUUAGCAAGUUUUCCUUACUUUCAUUUGUAAUGUUGGUUUCAUGAAGACCUCAAUGUUUUCAGUGGGUAUGUGGAUUAUAGUAUGAUGAGUGAGCUUUAUAAUUCUCUGAAGUUUGUGGUUUUAUUGUAUGUUGCUGUAAAUCUAUAUCCCUGUAUGACCACAAGAAACAAUAAAGCAUUUCCUUCCUAAACUUUUUUGGAUAAGUGUUUGUCAGCUGACCUCUGAUGAUUUGGUCAAAGCUGGCAGAAGCAGGUGACGCAAAGCUCGAG